AGCGAACGCUGGCGGCAGGCCUAACACAUGCAAGUCGAACGAACCUUUCGGGGUUAUUGGCGGACGGGUGAGUAACACGUGGGAACGUGCCUUUAGGUUCGGAAUAACUCAGGGAAACUUGUGCUAAUACCGAAUGUGCCCUUCGGGGGAAAGAUUAAUCGCCUUUAGAGCGGCCCGCGUCUGAUUAGCUAGUUGGUUGAGGUAAUGGCUCACCAAGGCGACGAUCAGUAGCUGGUCUGUGAGAAUGAUCAGCCACAUUGGGACUGAGACACGGCCCAAAAUCCUACGGGAGGCAGGAGUGGGGAAUCUUGCGCAAUGGGCGAAAGCCUGACGCAGCCAUGCCGGGUGAAUGAUGAAGGUCUUAGGAUUGUAAAAUUCUUUCACCGGGGACGAUAAUGACGGUACCCGGAGAAGAAGCCCCGGCUAACUUCGUG
rnacentral:rRNA from 1 species